rnacentral:lncRNA from 1 species
GGCUGCUGCUGAACUCCCGUGCCAAGCCGCCAACGCCGCGAUCGCCGCCAAUCCCGCCAGCCUCUUCAGAGGAGCCUCUCAAGCAAAACGAGGAGAUGGCCACCAAGGAGAAGCUUCAAUGUCUGAAAGACUUCCACAAAGACAUCCUGAAGCCUUCUCCAGGGAAGAGCCCAGGCACGCGGCCUGAGGAUGAGGCUGAUGGGAAGCCCCCUCAGAGGGAGAAGUGGUCCAGCAAGAUCGACUUUGUGCUGUCUGUGGCCGGAGGCUUCGUGGGUUUGGGCAAUGUCUGGCGUUUCCCGUACCUCUGCUACAAAAAUGGUGGAGGUAUACCCUGCCCAACUGUACCUCAGAUGCAGGGCCAGCAUGCCUGAGAACAAGGUGCAUUCCUCAUACCGUAUUUUAUUUUCCUGUUUGGGAGCGGCCUGCCUGUGUUUUUCCUGUGGGACAGACCCUGUCUCUGGAGGGAAGGAGGAUGCAAUGCUGGAGAAGACUCCAUGCCUUUGUCUCAUACAAGCUGGAGUUGAAUCCCAGUUUACCACUGAGCGGCUAUUUGAUUUUUGUAGGGAAGUCCCCCUACCUCACCUUUGAGCCUUAGAUUCUUUAACUGUCAGAUGAGGAAAGUGUAUCAUUCUUAUUCCACGAGAUUCCUGUUGAGAGAUGUAAAGGUGUUUGAAAAUCAUAGUUUUCUUAAUGUAUUUUGGGAAAAACAUCACACACAGGGGAAAAUGCAUUUAUGUAGUUAUGCAAAUGAAAAAGUGAGUUGAUAGCAAAAAUAUGUAUCAGUUAGCUCUUGUGUGUAACAACCAUCUCCAAACAUGGUGGUUUUAACCAAG